CGGGACGGGUGAGUAAUGCUUGGGAAUCUAGCUUAUGGAGGGGGAUAACUACGGGAAACUGUAGCUAAUACCGCGUAAUAUCGAAAGAUUAAAGUGUGGGACCUUCGGGCCACAUGCCAUAGGAUGAGCCCAAGUGGGAUUAGGUAGUUGGUGAGGUAAAGGCUCACCAAGCCGACGAUCUCUAGCUGGUCUGAGAGGAUGACCAGCCACACUGGGACUGAGACACGGCCCAA
rnacentral:rRNA from 1 species